rnacentral:rRNA from 1 species
UGAGUGCCUGUCGAUGCAGGCUGUUCAUAUAUCUAAAUCAUAUGUGAAGAAAGGGCAGGGCAAGACCGGUGCCAGCCGCCGCGGUAAUACCGGCUGCUCGAGUGAUGGCCACUAUUACUGGGUUUAAAGCGUCCGUAGCUUGACUGUUAGGUCUCUUGGGAAAUCUUCACGCUCAACGUGAAGGCGUCUAAGAGAUACCGGCAGUCUUGGAACUGGGAGAGGUAAACCGUACUUCGGGGGUAGGAGUGAAAUCUUGUAAUCCUCGAGGGACGACCUAUGGCGAAGGCAGUUUACCAGAACAGCUUCGACAGUGAGGGACGAAAGCUGGGGGAGCAAACGGGAUUAGAUACCCCGGUAGUCCCAGCCGUAAACAAUGUGCGUUAGGUGUGUCGGUAACCACGUGUUACUGAUGCGCCGAAGAGAAAUCGUGAAACGCACCACCUGGGAAGUACGGUCGCAAGGCUGAAACUUAAAGGAAUUGGCGGGGGAGCACCACAACAGGUGGAGCCUG